CAAAGGUUUAAAAAUAAUAUCAGGAAGUAUUACUGAGAGGGUAGUGGAUGCAUGGAAUAGCCUUCCAGCUGAAGUGGUAGAGGUUAACACAGUAAAGGAGUUUAAGCAUGCGUGGGAUAGGCAUAAGGUUAUCCUAACUAUAAGAUAAGGCCAGGGACUAAUGAAAGUAUUUAGAAAAUUGGGCAGACUAGAUGGGCCAAAUGGUUCUUAUCUGCCGUCACAUUCUAUGUUUCUAAUAAAACUUGGUCAUAACUGAGGAAGCACUCUCUAGUGGCCUGUUAGCUUUGCAAUGAAAACAUUGUUGUAUCUACAAAAAGGCAAUUUUCUACAUUGCAGUACUAAAAGGACAGGCCUUCAACACUCUCACCACUUCAAUGAGAUGGUUGUCUAUUCAGACAUCCAUCUAUUGUUGUCCAUUGCCCAUGAACUUG